rnacentral:rRNA from 1 species
UACAGAGGGUGCAAGCGUUAAUCGGAAUUACUGGGCGUAAAGCGCACGUAGGCGGAUAAGUAAGUUGAAUGUGAAAUCCCCGGGCUCAACCUGGGAACUGCAUUCAAAACUACUUGUCUAGAGUAUGGUAGAGAGGAGUGGAAUUUCCGGUGUAGCAGUGAAAUGCGUAGAUAUCGGAAGGAACACCAGUGGCGAAGGCGACUCCCUGGACCAAUACUGACGCUCAGGUGCGAAAGCGUGGGGAGCAAACAGG